CACAAAAAAUAUGCAGGCUGUACGCCGCUGUGCCCCUCGGGGGCUAGUGGCAAAGGCUGAAAUAUUUUUCACCCAUGUCUUUUGCGCACUUGUUGUUUCCUGGGCGGGCUCGCCCGCCACCAGGACCACACCUUAAACCUUUUUUUAUGCAGUUGCAAUCAGCGUCAGUAUAACAAAUGUAAAAUCAUUUAC
rnacentral:misc_RNA from 1 species